rnacentral:rRNA from 1 species
GACGAACCGUGCGAACGUUGUUCGGAAUCACUGGGCUUAAAGGGUGCGUAGGCGGGCAUUCAAGUCAGGGGUGAAAUCCUCCAGCUUAACUGGAGAACUGCCUCUGAUACUGGAUGCCUCGAGUGAGGUAGGGGCGUGCGGAACUGAUGGUGGAGCGGUGAAAUGUGUUGAUAUCAUCAGGAACGCCGGUGGCGAAAGCGGCGCGCUGGACCUUAACUGACGCUGAGGCACGAAAGCCAGGGGAGCGAACAGG